GGAGAGCAUUCAGUGUCGGAUUUCCUACUAUGUAUCGUCCUUCUUUCAUUUGUGGUCCAUUGUUUUCUAUUGUUGGUUUACAGGUUUGGAAGGCAGCCAUGCUGCUAACCUGACUUUGUGUUGCACAAGAGCUUCACGUCGUCUGAAUGCGACGGUGUUACUGCCAUGGAGAUCGGUGUUGGGAUAGGUGAUGGCUUGCUAUGAAAUUUAGUGAAUGAGAAAAUUGACUUAUUGCUGUGCUUGUACAACUGUGUAAUUUUUCUGAUUUUUUAUUUGUUUUUGUGAAGGUCAAAAUGUUGUGUCCGAGAAGUUCAAGUAUGUUAGUUUAUAUUGUAUUAUUGAGAAGCUCCAACUUGUUGUAGGAGUGCAUUGAGAAACAGAGUGAAAAUAUCUAUAAAAAUGUAAGUUCGGGAGGAUUAAAAAGGAAAAGGAAGAAAGAAAAAGCUCACACUUUUGUCGUUGAUAUUUACAGUGACAAAUAAGCAACAAGUUCAUGUUUGUCAACCAUUGAAGUUCAUGUAUAUGGUAGUUGAUGAUUGUUGUGUGCACUUAGGGGAGCACAAAAAAAUGCGGCUGGCCAAGGUCCGUGGAUGUUGAACUUUCGUUCAGUGAGUGGCGUGUGUCUCAAAAACAAAUUGUGUUCACAAAAACAAAAACAAAAAAAGAUGCAAAAAAGAGACAAACCCAAGUAUUUUCGUAGGGAAAAUAAUGACAAGUUCAAAUUGUUCAAAUAUGGAAG
rnacentral:lncRNA from 1 species